CAUUUCUGCUUCUCUCUUUUCGACUGCUCCCCCUGGAUGGAGGAGCCCGACAGCAGGAAGGGUGGUGACUCAAACCCAGAACCCCAAAUACAAACACCCACUAAUGACUCACAUGCUGGAACUGGGGAGAUUUGGAGACUUUCCUUUGCUGAAAAAUGCAGAUGCAAACAUUUCCAAGCACAGGAAGCCAAGCUGGCUCGUCCCGCACUGGGACUCCGCUGAGGUGGCAGCGAGUCAGGGAUGUGUCACCCACCCAGACACGGGGUUUACUGGGUCAGGAGAUGGAGGGCGGCCUGGACUCGAAUUUCUCUCCUUCUCUCCAAAUGCCUGCUGGAGAAAAUCUGAUGUAUCCUGUGUGAGUCAAGCUGACUGUUUGUUUCUGGGGAAGGGCGUCGUAGUCCGGCCCUCCAUCUUCCCUGCUGGUUUUAAUUGUGAUUUUAAUUAGCAAGCGUGUCAUCCGAGCGGAGGCGUGGCCUUUCUUCAGAACGGGAGGUUUGUGGCUGUGUGGACCCUGGUUGGCCACUCGGCUCUUCUAAUGAUACAAAAUAAUUUUUUUUCUUUAAUGCUUUUCCUUUCCACAGUUCAAAGGGCUUUACCGAACUUUAACCCUUAGGGCCCUCCGUUUAUAUUUAGAUUUAAAAAGGAGUGAAGAUGGAGAUCUUUUGUGGCAAAGUGCUUUGAAACCCUGAGAUGAAAGGGAACCCGUAAAGAGAAAUUAACCUCAUUUAUUUUUUAAGCAACAUUUCGCAUGCGUGUGUGGACAGAUGUAAUUUGAGGCAACUCGAACGGAGCCUCCUCUUCACUCUGCUGGUGACCCUCCCUCCCUGUCUCCAGACCAAUCGAAGGACCUCUUUUUUUCUUUUCCCUUCUCUAUUAUCCCAAGCCAGGGCCUGUCUGGUGGCAAGGCUGAUUCAGGUUUAUAACUAAUGCCAGGCCCUGUCUCUAGGCACGGCACCCCUUGGUGGCUGGAUCGCCCCAGGUGGAGGACUCCAAGGUUCACAACAGAAAGGAGAAGAAGAGAUCAUGUGAGGACACAAGAAGGUAGCAUUCUGUAAGAAGAGAGUUGUCACCAGAACCCAACCCUGCUGACACCCUGACUUCAGACUUCCAGCCUCCAGAAGUGGAGGUCACGCUAGAGGAAUGUCCUUUCUGAACUAAAAAAAUACAAUAUCGGUUGUAAGCUCUUCUCUUGUGAAGCCAUCUUCAGAAUGACCGAUUAUUCUCUGUCGUUCAUCUGGAAGAGUGAGUAAGUACAAAAAGAAUACCAUUAGCCACAAAGUUGUCAUCUUCUUCAAAUAAAAUUCUGAUCUCUGGCUUGAAUGUUGAAACGGAAGAUUCACUGUUUUCUCCUGUCGUGGGUCAAGAGACAUGAUUUUGUAACUGUCAUUUUAUGAGAAAACUUGAUUCCGUUUGUUGACAAAACGUUAAGAAAAUGAACUGGUUAAGUUUCACAGGACUUGGUGAUUGAAAUUCUAGUGCCCAGAGUAGUGGUGUCAGAAUGAUGAGGCAUCCAGAUAAUGAUCUCAGAAACCUUCCCAAACAAUGUGACCACUUCAUUAGAAGGGGAAGGGGGAGGGAGGAAACAGACAGAAUUCUUCAGUCAAUUCCUAAGAGGCCAUCUAACCUGUCUUGGAGAGACAGAGUGCUUUACUGUGGGGCCUACUUUGGUAUAUCGGUACAACUAUUAGAAAAAUUAGAAUUACGAUGAGAUAUUAAGUAUUAGGGGCUCCAAGGAAAGCUGAAGAAGGUGGAUUUCCAUUGUCUGGCUCUAGCAGUCAGCCAGGUGGCACCUUUAAGAUCCCCCCCAGCACGGUUUGAGAAGCUUGGUAUUUGCUUAUCUUCCUGAAGCUGCACAAAGGCUCUGUGUCUGGGUAUGUUAGCUGUUCGGCAAAAAUACACUGCCCCCUGCUCCUGAGCAUAUAGUUGGACCAUAUUUCCCAGGCUGCUUCGUAGUUUGUUGUGGUCGUGAAUUCUAACCAACAGAAUGUGUGCAGGAAAUCGUUUAUGCCAUGGCUGAGCCAAGCCUUUUAGGAAACACAGAUGUCUCCUCCUUAUUUUGUUUCUUCCUUUAUUGAUUGGAUGCUGAUGAAGGUGAGGCCUUGGGGGAGGGGGAAGCUACCUAGUAAAACAGAACGCAAUACAAAGGGGCCUGAGCAUGUCCAAGAGCCACCCACCACCCAGAAACAGUUUAGGUGAGCAAGAAAUAAGCUUUUAUGAGGCUUGAGGAUUAUAUAUUUUGAGGUCUAUUUAUUAUAGCUGCUAGCAUGACCCUCACUAACCAGGGAUUUGAGUGGCUAGCAAUUGCAGGACUGCAAUUAAAGGAAGCAACACCAACAAAUGCCUUCAACAAAUGCCCAGGAAAUACCAUUUCAGAAACGUAACCCUUUUACC